rnacentral:rRNA from 1 species
UGGGGAAUAUUGCACAAUGGGCGCAAGCCUGAUGCAGCCAUGCCGCGUGUGUGAAGAAGGCCUUCGGGUUGUAAAGCACUUUCAGCGGGGAGGAAGGCGUUAAGGUUAAUAACCUUGGCGAUUGACGUUACCCGCAGAAGAAGCACCGGCUAACUCCGUGCCAGCAGCCGCGGUAAUACGGAGGGUGCAAGCGUUAAUCGGAAUUACUGGGCGUAAAGCGCACGCAGGCGGUCUGUCAAGUCGGAUGUGAAAUCCCCGGGCUCAACCUGGGAAAUGCAUUCGAAACUGGCAGGCUAGAGGCUUGUAGAGGGGGGUAGAAGUCCAGGUGUAGCGGUGAAAUGCGUAGAGAUCUGGAGGAAUACCGGUGGCGAAGGCGGCCCCCUGGACAAAGACUGACGCUCAGGUGCGAAAGCGUGGGGAGCAAACAGG